AGGACGAACGCUGGCGGCGUGCUUAACACAUGCAAGUCGAGCGGAAAGGCCCUUCGGGGUACUCGAGCGGCGAACGGGUGAGUAACACGUGAGCAACCUGCCCCAUGCUUUGGGAUAACCCUCGGAAACGGGGGCUAAUACCGAAUAUUCACGACGGAUCGCAUGGUUUGUUGUGGAAAGUUUUUCGGCGUGGGAUGGGCUCGCGGCCUAUCAGCUUGUUGGUGGGGUAAUGGCCUACCAAGGCGACGACGGGUAG
rnacentral:rRNA from 1 species